rnacentral:rRNA from 1 species
AUUGAACGCUGGCGGCAGGCCUAACACAUGCAAGUCGAACGGUAACAGGAAACAGCUUGCUGUUUCGCUGACGAGUGGCGGACGGGUGAGUAAUGUCUGGGAAACUGCCUGAUGGAGGGGGAUAACUACUGGAAACGGUAGCUAAUACCGCAUAACGUCGCAAGACCAAAGAGGGGGACCUUCGGGCCUCUUGCCAUCGGAUGUGCCCAGAUGGGAUUAGCUUGUUGGUGGGGUAACGGCUCACCAAGGCGACGAUCCCUAGCUGGUCUGAGAGGGGGCCCAGCCACACUGGACCGGAGACACGGACCAGACUCCUACGGGAGGCAGCAGUGGGGAAUAUUGCACAAUGGGCGCAAGCCUGAUGCAGCCAUGCCGCGUGUAUGAAGAAGGCCUUCGGGUUGUAAAGUACUUUCAGCGGGGAGGAAGGGAGUAAAGUUAAUACCUUCACUCAUUGACGUUACCCGCAGAAGAAGCACCGGCUAACUCCGUGCCAGCCGCCGCGGUAA